CCUACGGGUGGCAGCAGUCGAGAAUCAUUCACAAUGGGGGAAACCCUGAUGGUGCGACGCCGCGUGGGGGAAUGAAGGUCUUCGGAUUGUAAACCCCUGUCAUGUGGGAGCAAAUUAAAAAGAUAGUACCACAAGAGGAAGAGACGGCUAACUCUGUGCCAGCAGCCGCUGUAAUACAGAGGUCUCAAGCGUUGUUCGGAAUCACUGGGGGUAAAGCGUGCGUAGGCUGUUUCGUAAGUCGUGUGUGAAAGGCGCGGGCCCAACCCGCGGACGGCACAUGAUACUGCAAGACUAGAGUAAUGGAGGGGGAACCGGAAUUCUCGGGGUAGCAGUGAAAUGCGUAGAUAUCGAGAGGAACACUCGUGGCGAAGGCGGGUUCCUGGACAUUAACUGACGCUGAGGCACGAAGGCCAGGGGAGCGAAAGGGAUUAGAUACCCGGGUAGUC
rnacentral:rRNA from 1 species